CAAGCCCUCAUGUCAGAGAUCCGGAUGGUGCUAGCCCUCUGCAUUAUGCAGUUCAAGUUGCUGCUAUGCAAACUGUGAAGUUAUUGGUCAAAUACAAGGUUGAUGUAAAUGUUGCAGAUAAUGUAUGUAUAGUUCCAAAGCUGUUUUAAUCUCUAUGUUCUGCUGCUAUGCCAAAGUAGAAACAGAGAUAUAGUUAAAGUUUUGUUAGUGAAUGGUGCAGAUAAGAACAGACG
rnacentral:misc_RNA from 1 species